rnacentral:rRNA from 1 species
UACGUAGGGUGCAAGCGUUGUCCGGAAUUAUUGGGCGUAAAGAGCUCGUAGGCGGUUCGGUAAGUCGGAUGUGAAAUCUCCACGCCCAACGUGGAGGGGCCAUUCGAUACUGCCGUGACUCGAGUCCGGUAGGGGAGUGUGGAAUUCCCGGUGUAGCGGUGAAAUGCGCAGAGAUCGGGAGGAACACCCGUAGCGAAGGCGGCACUCUGGGCCGGUACUGACGCUGAGGAGCGAAAGCGUGGGGAGCAAACAGG